rnacentral:rRNA from 1 species
AUACGUAGGGUGCAAGCGUUAAUCGGAAUUACUGGGCGUAAAGCGUGCGCAGGCGGUUUUGUAAGACAGGGGUGAAAUCCCCGGGCUCAACCUGGGAACUGCCAUUGUGACUGCAAGGCUGGAGUGCGGCAGAGGGGGACGGAAUUCCGCGUGUAGCAGUGAAAUGCGUAGAUAUGCGGAGGAACACCGAUGGCGAAGGCAAUCCCCUGGGCCUGCACUGACGCUCAUGCACGAAAGCGGGGGGAGCAAACAGGAUUAGAUACCCUGGUAGUCCACGCCCUAAACGAUGUCAACUGGUUGUUGGGGAUUUAUUUUCUCAGUAACGAAGCUAACGCGUGAAGUUGACCGCCUGGGGAGUACGGCCGCAAGGUUAAAACUCAAAGGAAUUGACGGGG